UUUGAUUAAAGCCCUUAGGGGCAAAGCCCCAUAUAAUAAGACUGGUUUUUUAGUCUUUCUAAAGCCAAAGUCGUUGGCCACCUCCUUGACCUGCUCUUCUGCCUUCUCCCUUGAUCCUCAAAGGGAUUCCGGUGGGUUAAUCAGAUCCAGCUCUAAAGCCAAUUCGUCGGUCGGCAAAAUUCAACCUUUUCCAACAAGAUAUGUAGCUAACUAUCUGCUUGUCUCAUCCUAAUCACUUUUAUUUCUUAAUCAAAAUAGCUUGAAGCUUCCACAAAGCUCUUCAGAUUUAUCUUCGUUUUUCAACUCCAACAUGGUAUCAGAGCAGGAACUGGGGUUUCUGGUAUGAGUUCUUGAUCCCUUUCUUUAAUUGAUGAUUGAAAGUUCGGUUAAGGUAGGUUUAAUUCCUGUUUAGUAUCAUUUCUUGUUGAUUUCUGGUGAUUCUUGCUUAUUUUUGUUGAGAUUCUUGAUUGCUUUUUGAGAAAUGAAUAGUUUGACUAUUCAACAAAAUACCACAUCUGCCAUUGAAGAUUCACAAUCUCCCUAUUUCUUACAUCACACUGAUCAUCACGGAUCGGUUGUGAUUACUCUUAAACUCACAUGUAACAACUAUGUAGCUUGGAGUAGAUCGUUCAUACUUGCUCUUUCGAUUAGAAUAAAGUAAGGUUAUAGAUGGAACCAAUCCUAAACCAAAUACCAUUGAUCCAUUGUUUAGGCCAUAGAUUUGUUGUUAAUUUCAGCGUGGCUCCUAGAAUCAAUAACACCUCUUAUUGCUUCCAUUGUGUUUUACAUGGAUUCAAUUGCCGAAUUUUGAAAUACUUUAAAGCUAAAUUUUACUCAACCAGAUGACACGAGGGUUUGUGACCUCCAAUAUAAUUUUGGUAAUGUUUCUCAAGGCAAUAGAUAUGUAGAUUCAUAAUUCACUGAGCUUAAAGGUAUUUGGGAAAAGUUGAAGAAUUACAGGCCCUUGCUACAAAGUGAGUGUGGGAAAUGCAACUCAGCAUGUAAUAAAAAGUAUUUUGACUAGUACAAGAAAGAUAUGGUCGUCAGGUUUAUCAAUGGGCUAAAUGAUACAUUUUCAGCUUUCAGAACUCAAAUCACUGUCAUGAAACCUUUCCCCACUUUAGAUAAGGUGUACAAUUUAGUUCUAUGAGUAGAAAACUAGAGGAGUUUUUUGUUGCAAUCUAAUCCUUUGAUUGAGUCAUCUGCAAUGGUAGUGACUGCUGAUAAUAAGAGGAAAGGAAAACCAAAUAUAACUUGCAACCACUGGCAAAAAGGGACACAUAAAGGAAAAAUGUUUUAGACUGAUAGGUUUUCCUAACGACUUUAAGUUUACAAAGGAUAAGGACAAAGGAAGCUUUGAGAAAUAGAAUUCUUUUGUGAAUACUGUUUUUGCUAUUACUAGUUCAACUUCAUCUGCAAAAGGAACAACAUAGCCAAGCCAAGAAGAGGAGUUUGGUGGUUCUAAUUCUAUGUCCCAGAUGUCUAUCAUAAAGCAACAACUUCAAAAGAAAAUGGCGCUCCUUAAUGUUGACAAUUCUGAAAUUAAUUGAGGUAUUCUGUCAAACGCUUAGCAAACUUCUUCAUCAGUCAAUUCCACUGUUGCAGGUAUUUUUUCUGACCACUUUUGUUCUUGUAUAGCUCAGAAUACUUCCACUAAAGAUAAAUGCACUCAUAGCAUCCUGGUUAAACCAAAUUCCUGGAUAAUGGAUACAGGAACAACUGAUCAUAUUUCAUGUUCCUUAAAAACUUUCACUCAUGCUUAUCCUGUUUAUAAUUUCUUUGUUCAACUAGCUAACAAUCUUCAAGCUAUUGUCACGCAUAUAAGAACUGUCGAAUUAACAUUCUUGUUGUAUUGCAUAAUGUGUUUUGUGCACCCUCUUUUCAAUUCAAUCUUGUUUCAGUGAGCGAACUAACAAGUUCUAGGAAGAAUUGUGUCAUUUUCACUGAUGAGUGUUGUGUUGUUCAAGACCUCACAUCUUGGAAAGUGACUACGGUUGCUAAAGUCUCUUCUAGCCUAUAUUUCAUACAAGACAAUCAAGAUGAUCAAUAUUUGUCAAAGUUUAGUCUUGAUAAAAUUGUAAAUUUUUCUUCUAUUGUUUUUGCAAAUCAUUGUAAAACAAUUCAAACUCAAUUUGAUCUUUGGUACUUUAGACUUGAUCAUAUACCUACAAACAGAAUAAAUGUGUUACAUCAAAAAUAUCUUGAGAUUCAUUGUUCUGAUACUUUGAUAUGAGAUGUCUAUCCUUUAGCUAAACAAAAAAAAAAUUACCAUUUCCUAUUCAUGUUACCAAUACUAGUUCUGCGUUUGAAAUUGUUCAUUUUGAUAUCUGGGAACCAUAUAGCAUUCCUACUCUUGAUGGUCAUCAUUAUUUUUUUACUUCAGUUAAUGAUUUCAGAAGAUUCACUUGGAUUUUUUUAUGAGGAAUAAAUCUGAAGUAUCUGUCAUUGUUCAGUAUUUUUACAAUCUUGUUAAGAAUUAGUUUUCAACUAAAAUCAGGUGCAUUAGGUCAGACAAUGGUAAUAAAUUUAGGCUUAGUGAUUUUUUUAAUUCCACAGGUAUUGUUCAUCAUUUGUCUUGUAAUGAAACUCUUAAACAAAAUGGUGUUGUUGAACGUAAACAUCAACAUCUUCUUGUUGUAGCCAGAGCUCUUUUACAUCAGUCAAGUUUAUCACUUAAAAUUCUAGGGAAAUGCAGUUCUUAUAAUAGCACACAUUAUAAAUCGAACACCCUCUAGGCUUCUUCAUGAUAAAUCCCCGUAUGAAUGUCUUUAUAAUAAACCACCUUGCUAUAACUAUUUAAGGGUAUUUGGUAAUUUGUGUUAUGCAUCAACUUUAGUACAACAUAGAACUAAGUUUGAUAAAAGGGCUAGUAAAUGUGUCGUUUUAGGUUAUCCAAAUGGCACAAAAGGUUUUGAGGUCUAUGAUAUUGAUGCAAAUAAAGUACUCAUUUCCAAGAAUGUAAUCUGCCAUGAGCACAUCCUUUCUUUUCAACAUAUAAAGCAUACCACAUAUCAUUUUACAUUUCCUCAAAUAAUUGGUAUGCAUGAUCCAAUGUUUGAUUUUUUUUUAUUUCAAUUAUGUUAAUUCUUCUUCACUUGCUUCAUUAUCUGUUGAGUCACCUGUUUCUCAACCUUCUUUACAUAAUGACAUUGCUUUUACAUCAGAAACUCUUAUUUCCUUGCAAAAUUCACCUGUUUCCCAUUCUGUUUCAGAUUCUGCUUUUUCAGUUUCACUGCAUUUUGCUAAUCUUAAUUCUAAUCUUAGGAAAAGUAUUAAAGUUAAACAUACUCCUAAGUACUUAGAAGCUUAUCAAGUAAAUCUUCCUUCUUCCAUAAGUCAUGUUACAACAUAUCCUAUCACUCAUUAUUUGUUUAGUAAUCAAUUGUCACCCAAAUAUAAAGCCUUCAUUUCUGCCUUGUCUCAAACAUUUGAACCUUCAUCCUACAAUCAAGCUGUCACAUGAGCGUAUUGGGGGAGUAUCAAGGUUUUCUAUUAAGGGGGAGUAUCAUCAACUUGGUAAGCAGCAACUGGUAUGCAAACUGCAUAAAUCCCUAUAUGGACUCAAACAAGCUUCAAGACAAUGAAAUUCAAAGUUCACUUCUACACUUUUGGAAUGUGGUUUUAAUUACAGACAAAGGUGAAUUUGUUGCCCUGUUGGUUGAUGUUGAUGCCACAGGAUACAGGCAACUGAUAGGGAAAUUACUUUAUUUGACCUUUACAAGGCUUGAUAUUUCAUAUGCUGUUCAAAUAUUGUCUCAAUUCAUGGAUGCACCAACUGAAAAUCACGUAGAUGCAGCUCACAGGGUGUUAAAAUAUUUGAAAACAUCUCCAAGGCAAGGGAUAUUAAUGAGUUCUGAUUCAAAUUUGAAACUCAUUGCCUAUUGUGACAAUGAUUGGUCAAGUUGCCCAGAUAUAAGAAAGUUUGUAACAAGAUAGAGUGUUUUUCUUGGUAAUUCUCUAGCAGGUUGGAAUCCAAGAAACAACAGAAUGUUGCAAGGAGUUCACCUGAAGUUGAGUACAAGUCAAUGGCUUCAACAACCUGUGAAAUCAUUUGGAUAAGAAAUCUUUUGAUAGAUCUUGGAUUUCCUCAAGACACUCUAGUAAAACUACAUGUGACAAUCAAUCAGCGAUUUAUAUUUUUAGGAAUUCUAUAUUCCAUGAGUGUAUUAAACACAUAGAGAUUGACUGUCAUUUUGUUAGGGAGAAAGUGCUUGCAAAGAUAAUCGAGCCAGUCCAUAUUUCUACUCAUGAACAAGUUGCAGAUUUAUUGAGUAAGGCUAUGCGACCAAGGCACUUCUAUAGACUGCUUGACAAGAUGCACAUUAUUAACAUACAUGUACAUCUUCAGGGGGAGUAUCAACCUGAUAAGGAGCUGAUAGUUGAGGAUCAAGAGAGAAAAUCUCGACUGGGUUGAAGAACUUGGGAAUCCAAAAAAAGAAAAGAGAGCACGUGUAAAUCACAUGCUCUAUAAGAAACAAAAGAAAGCUCGUGUUUUUUAUUUUUACUUUUACAUUUAGUGUUUACUAAAUUGUAAAUAUUAGUUAAUUAGUGAUUUUUUUUUUUUUUACUUCAGUUAGUUAGAUGAUGAAAACAGAGUAAAUACUCUGGUGUACAGCUUUUAUUUGUUAAUAAAAAUAGCUUGAAACUUCCACAAAACUCUUCAGAUUUAUCUUCGUUUUUCAACUCCAACAAAAAAAAAUUAAAAUCAAAUAUGUAUUAAUUAAUAAUAAAAAUAUUAAUACUUUUAAAAAAAUGAAAAAAAAUAUAAAUAUGUGACAAUUUAUGAGAGUUAAGGUAAAAGAUGAAAAUAGAUCAGUUGGAUUCUUUGCAUGGAAAAAA
rnacentral:sRNA from 1 species